CACCACAUGACACAUUGCUCCUUAGAGAUGUCAUAAUGCACCUUAGCUCUUUAAAGGCUCUGAAAAGUCCUGCUGCAAAGAAAUGUCUGCUCCGGCAAUGGAGCGCAGUAACGAGCCGUUCAAACUUGUGUCAAGGUGUGGAUCACAGAGGCUGGGGGUCAAGAGGGAAGAGAAAUACAGCGACAAAUGGAAGGCUCUCCCUCAUUAGAGACACAGCCACCAGCAGAGACAAUCAGGGGGUGAGAGGCCCGGAAUCCUCUUUGUGAUGAAAUCCCCAGAGUGGUCCUCGGGUCCCACAGUGGGUGCUCAGGGAUGUAGGCUGUAGGGCUCCAGGCUCUGAGUUGAGGAAAAUUGGAGUUAAAUUUCAGUGAAGUAACCCUGAGCAAGUCAGUCUCUGUCCAUCAGGUUCUUUUGUUUGUAAAAUGGAGGUAGCCAUGAGGAUUGUUCUGAGAAUGAGUUAAAUGGAAAGAUAUGCUCAAGAUGCCAGCGCAAAGCCAGAGACUCAAGGUUCGCAGCUGGUUGGAGCAAACCUCAAUGUCAGUGUGAAUCUUCCACCAUGGGAUUCAAGCUGCCUUGGCUCUAAAGUAAGAUCACAGCUGCAGUGAGCUGACCCCAACUCAAGAUGGAACCAUCUUAGAACAAGCUCUUAGGAUAAAAAGCCAAAGCUCUCUAAUGUGUUCUGUGAUAAAGAAGACUAUGGAACUGACAGUCCAAACCGAGAAACUGGGGAGAGAGAGGAGGCAUUAUUGUCAACUCCAGGUCAUCCAACCUGUUUUAAGCUUUUUGUCAGCAAGAACCAGCCCUAUUUUAUUCAGCCCUGGAGCGGCCUCUCCACCAGGCACACAGCUUAGCACAAAGCAGGCCUCAGAUGCACGCUGGACAAAUGUGCUGGUAUCCUCUGCAUCCUUAUGGCCAGCAUGAUCCAUCCAGAAACCCAGUGGAACUGAGCCGCGAGCUGGAUUCCAGCUCACAGAACACACCAAGAACUCUGGUGAAACAUCAAGAACUCUGGGGGGUCCCCCCAGAAAAAUCUGGGGGGCACUGCAGAGCUUCUGACACGGCUCUGGGGGAAAUCCCACACGGAUGGGCAGCUGCCUGCAUCUGGCACUGUGGAGGUGGGCGGGCAGCCAUGGAGGAUGGGGAGACUCAUCUUUCUAGACUUCUCCUGGGGACCGCAUUUCCUCCAGCCUCCAGGUCCAGACCAAAAUAGAAUGAGGUAAAUUCAGCCCCUUUCCUGAAGCACACUCAAGGAAUAAACAAGCACCACAAAUACAGUCUUCGGGCUGGGUCAUCUUUCCAACCUCAUUUUUUUUUUUUUUUAAGAGAACCACAGGCUGUUUUAAGAUUCCAAACCCAGAGACAGAAAAAGUGCAGCAAAGCAGGGCGACAAGGGGAAAGAAACUUGACAGUGCUUUGCAGACAGAAACAAGUGACGCAAUUUCCAAAUUCAAGAUUCUCAAAAACAGAGGCUGGGUUGGAACAUCUAGAGAAGGCCAGAGCGGGCUGUUCUAAGACUUAUUCUCACGGUAGC
rnacentral:lncRNA from 10 species